rfam:Endozoicomonas montiporae strain LMG 24815 scaffold00001, whole genome shotgun sequence.
CUGAGGUCAUCGUAAGAUGUCCUGAUCGCCAUACAGAAGUCAGCAGACGGCAUAGUAGCUGGCGAAGUCAGUGAAGGCC